UGAGACUUAACAGAAAUCUUAUGGAAGUAGUAGCUACUAGCUAGCAACUCUGAAAAUGAAAUCCGCAAUGAGCCAAACUGUGCCAGCGCCACAAUUUUUGUCUGAAGUGCAGUCUUCUCUCUAUUCUUUGACGGGUAUGGUCUGCUGUAGCAUAGUCUCGUCUUCGUCUUCGCACAUGAUGGUAUGAGCCGUGUUCCCUCUUUAAUUAUUCGCUAUUUAUUCGUCAUUUUGACUAGUCGAGCGCGUGUGGUAGUUCACUGGGUAAGAAUGAAAUAGAUAGCUCAGCUGAGUGCGUUGGUGAGAUUAAUCUGCAUGUAUAAGUACCCACGCAGGAGGCUUGUUUGGAGGCAGUCAUCAGUGACAGAACCACCUACUACUCAAGUACUGAUCGACUACUAAGCUGUCCCUUUGCAUAGGUAGCAAGUGAGAAUCAAUGGCGACAUAUAUGGGCUCCCAGCUAGUCAUGUCGCACGGGAAGGGACGUCUGUUGAGCUCUCGUUCCUCCUCAUCCUCCGUCGGGCGAAUAACUGUUACGCCUCUGGCUGCUCAAGUAACCCGAGUCACUCGGGCCGUCCAGCAUCCUCCACCCGGUCCAGUUUCAGAUGGACCUCGUCCUGAUGGUUCAGGGAGCAUACUUCAGGUCGAUCGGGCCAAGAAGACGGACAAGGUUCAUACGGGUUGUGGUGACCCUCCCUGCGGAAAGCGUCCUCCAAGGCCAAAGAGGAUGGCUCGACAAGGCCAAGAGAAAGAGGAAGCCCAAUCGCCGUUUUGAUCCAACUACGUGGGAGCUGUGAGCCGAGGGCUGAGACGAGUGAGGCAUCUGAGUUAUCAUUUGGCUGUAAUCUGUUCUCCCCUUCCCCUGUUCCCCUGUUCCCCUCUCGAACCUACCCUUCUUCCUCCUCCAGAUCCCCAAUCUCCUUCCCCAAAAACCUUGUAUCUGGAUAUGAAUCAGUGCUAGUUAGCAAAGAGGAACCUAACAGAAACUAAUGGCGUCUAUGUGCUCCCAGCUGGUGCUACUCAUGUGUCAUGUCGCAGCAGGGGAAGCGGCUGUGGAGCUAUCUUACCUUCCUUAGCUUGCAGGAGCACGUGCUGUGUUGUGUUUAAUAUAAACUCAAUUGGACAGAGUAUAAACUCAGUUUGCUGAA